UAGUCCACGCCGUAAACGAUGUCUACUAGCCGUUGGGAUACUUGAUAUCUAGUGGCGCAGCUAACGCACUAAGUAGACCGCCUGGGGAGUACGGCCGCAAGGUUAAAACUCAAAUGAAUUGACGGGGGCCCGCACAAGCGGUGGAGCAUGUGGUUUAAUUCGACGCAACGCGAAGAACCUUACCUACUCAUGAAAUCCUGCGAAGUCGGAAGAAAUUCUGAUGUGCCUUCGGGAACGCAGUGACAGGUGCUGCAUGGCUGUCGUCAGCUCGUGUUGUGAAAUGUUGGGUUAAGUCCCGUAACGAGCGCAACCCUUGUCCUUAUUUGCCAGCACUUCGGGUGGGAACUCUAAGGAGACUGCCGGUGACAAACCGGAGGAAGGUGGGGACGACGUCAAGUCAUCAUGGCCCUUACGAGUAGGGCUACACACGUGCUACAAUGGCCGGUACAGAGGGUUGCGAAUACCUCGCGACGGGGGAAGGGCGUAAUACUCUACAAAACCGGUAACCGGUAGUCCGGACGUUGGUAGGUCGUCGCGAACUACG
rnacentral:rRNA from 1 species